rnacentral:rRNA from 1 species
AGCGUACACGGUGGAUGCCCUGGCAGUCAGAGGCGAUGAAGGGCGUGCUAAUCUGCGAUAAGCGCCGGUAAGGUGAUAUGAACCGUUAUAACCGGCGAUACCCGAAUGGGGAAACCCAGUGUGAUUCGUCACACUAUCAUUAACUGAAUCCAUAGGUUAAUGAGGCGAACCGGGGGAACUGAAACAUCUAAGUACCCCGAGGAAAAGAAAUCAACCGAGAUUCCCCCAGUAGCGGCGAGCGAACGGGGAGGAGCCCAGAGCCUGAAUCAGCAUGUGUGUUAGUGGAAGCGUCUGGAAAGGCGCGCGAUACAGGGUGACAGCCCCGUACACAAAAGCGCAUGUGCUGUGAGCUCGAUGAGUAGGGCGGGACACGUGGUAUCCUGUCUGAAUAUGGGGGGACCAUCCUCCAAGGCUAAAUACUCCUGACUGACCGAUAGUGAACCAGUACCGUGAGGGAAAGGCGAAAAGAACCCCGGCGAGGGGAGUGAAAAAGAACCUGAAACCGUGUACGUACAAGCAGUGGGAGCACAGGUUUACCUGUGUGACUGCGUACCUUUUGUAUAAUGGGUCAGCGACUUAUAUUCUGUAGCAAGGUUAACCGAAUAGGGGAGCCGUAGGGAAACCGAGUCUUAACCGGGCGUUAAGUUGCAGGGUAUAGACCCGAAACCCGGUGAUCUAGCCAUGGGCAGGUUGAAGGUUGGGUAACACUAACUGGAGGACCGAACCGACUAAUGUUGAAAAAUUAGCGGAUGACCUGUGGCUGGGGGUGAAAGGCCAAUCAAACCGGGAGAUAGCUGGUUCUCCCCGAAAGCUAUUUAGGUAGCGCCUCGUGAAUUCAUCUCCGGGGGUAGAGCACUGUUUCGGCUAGGGGGCCAUCCCGGCUUACCAACCCGAUGCAAACUGCGAAUACCGGAGAAUGUUAUCACGGGAGACACACGGCGGGUGCUAACGUCCGUCGUGAAGAGGGAAACAACCCAGACCGCCAGCUAAGGUCCCAAAGUCAUGGUUAAGUGGGAAACGAUGUGGGAAGGCCCAGACAGCCAGGAUGUUGGCUUAGAAGCAGCCAUCAUUUAAAGAAAGCGUAAUAGCUCACUGGUCGAGUCGGCCUGCGCGGAAGAUGUAACGGGGCUAAACCAUGCACCGAAGCUGCGGCAGCGACGCUUAUGCGUUGUUGGGUAGGGGAGCGUUCUGUAAGCCUGUGAAGGUGGCCUGUGAGGGUUGCUGGAGGUAUCAGAAGUGCGAAUGCUGACAUAAGUAACGAUAAAGCGGGUGAAAAGCCCGCUCGCCGGAAGACCAAGGGUUCCUGUCCAACGUUAAUCGGGGCAGGGUGAGUCGACCCCUAAGGCGAGGCCGAAAGGCGUAGUCGAUGGGAAACGGGUUAAUAUUCCCGUACUUGGUGUUACUGCGAAGGGGGGACGGAGAAGGCUAUGUUGGCCGGGCGACGGUUGUCCCGGUUUAAGCGUGUAGGCUGGUUUUCCAGGCAAAUCCGGAAAAUCAAGGCUGAGGCGUGACGACGAGGCACUACGGUGCUGAAGCAACAAAUGCCCUGCUUCCAGGAAAAGCCUCUAAGCAUCAGGUAACAUCAAAUCGUACCCCAAACCGACACAGGUGGUCAGGUAGAGAAUACCAAGGCGCUUGAGAGAACUCGGGUGAAGGAACUAGGCAAAAUGGUGCCGUAACUUCGGGAGAAGGCACGCUGACACGUAGGUGAAGUGAUUUACUCAUGGAGCUGAAGUCAGUCGAAGAUACCAGCUGGCUGCAACUGUUUAUUAAAAACACAGCACUGUGCAAACACGAAAGUGGACGUAUACGGUGUGACGCCUGCCCGGUGCCGGAAGGUUAAUUGAUGGGGUCAGCGCAAGCGAAGCUCCUGAUCGAAGCCCCGGUAAACGGCGGCCGUAACUAUAACGGUCCUAAGGUAGCGAAAUUCCUUGUCGGGUAAGUUCCGACCUGCACGAAUGGCGUAAUGAUGGCCAGGCUGUCUCCACCCGAGACUCAGUGAAAUUGAACUCGCUGUGAAGAUGCAGUGUACCCGCGGCAAGACGGAAAGACCCCGUGAACCUUUACUAUAGCUUGACACUGAACAUUGAGCCUUGAUGUGUAGGAUAGGUGGGAGGCUUUGAAGCGUGGACGCCAGUCUGCGUGGAGCCGACCUUGAAAUACCACCCUUUAAUGUUUGAUGUUCUAACGUGGACCCGUAAUCCGGGUUGCGGACAGUGUCUGGUGGGUAGUUUGACUGGGGCGGUCUCCUCCUAAAGAGUAACGGAGGAGCACGAAGGUUGGCUAAUCCUGGUCGGACAUCAGGAGGUUAGUGCAAUGGCAUAAGCCAGCUUGACUGCGAGCGUGACGGCGCGAGCAGGUGCGAAAGCAGGUCAUAGUGAUCCGGUGGUUCUGAAUGGAAGGGCCAUCGCUCAACGGAUAAAAGGUACUCCGGGGAUAACAGGCUGAUACCGCCCAAGAGUUCAUAUCGACGGCGGUGUUUGGCACCUCGAUGUCGGCUCAUCACAUCCUGGGGCUGAAGUAGGUCCCAAGGGUAUGGCUGUUCGCCAUUUAAAGUGGUACGCGAGCUGGGUUUAGAACGUCGUGAGACAGUUCGGUCCCUAUCUGCCGUGGGCGCUGGAGAACUGAGGGGGGCUGCUCCUAGUACGAGAGGACCGGAGUGGACGCAUCACUGGUGUUCGGGUUGUCAUGCCAAUGGCACUGCCCGGUAGCUAAAUGCGGAAGAGAUAAGUGCUGAAAGCAUCUAAGCACGAAACUUGCCCCGAGAUGAGUUCU